UACGUAGGGUGCGAGCGUUGUCCGGAAUUAUUGGACGUAAAGAGCUCGUAGGCGGUGUGUCACGUCGGCCGUGAAAACCUGCAGCUUAACUGUGGGCGUGCGGUCGAUACGGGCAUCACUGGAGUUCGGCAGGGGAGACUGGAAUUCCUGGUGUAGCGGUGAAAUGCGCAGAUAUCAGGAGGAACACCGGUGGCGAAGGCGGGUCACUGGUCCGGUACUGACGCUGAGGUGCGAAAGCGUGGGGAGCAAACAGG
rnacentral:rRNA from 1 species